rnacentral:rRNA from 1 species
UACGUAGGGGGCUAGCGUUGUCCGGAUUUAUUGGGCGUAAAGAGCGUGUAGGCGGCCUGUCGCGUCUGCUGUGAAAAUCCGGGGCUCAACCCCGGACUUGCAGUGGGUACGGGCAGACUAGAGUGUGGUAGGGGAGACUGGAAUUCCUGGUGUAGCGGUGAAAUGCGCAGAUAUCAGGAGGAACACCGAUGGCGAAGGCAGGUCUCUGGGCCACUACUGACGCUGAGAAGCGAAAGCAUGGGGAGCGAACAGG